GUAACAUAUUUUCUUUCACAAGAUUACACAUCAUUAGGAAUGUUCUUUUUAUCAACCAAAAGAUGAAAGCUAUAUCUAACAACUGACUAGAAUGAUAAGAGAAGGUAGUUGCCAUGUCCCCUGGUACGACUCUCUACAAAAAGAUUGGUACAUUUUUGAAGCACACCGCCACAGGACUGUAAACUUCAAAAUAGCAUUCUGAUACAGCAGAAGCCUAUCAACAACUUAUUUUAGAACAUCAUGACUGAAGUGAGUCAUAAAUAUCAUGAAUUGUAUCGCAUGCAAGAUAGAAGUCAAAA
rnacentral:misc_RNA from 1 species